ensembl:lncRNA
GUUAUUCUUGACCUGUCACCUAAUUUCCUGCAGUAUGUUUCUGUCCCCGUGGAGGUUAUUUCUGUUAUUUCCGUUAUUUCAGUUAUUUCCUUUGUUGUUCUAGACCUGUCAUUUAAUUUUCUGCCAUAUGUUUCAGUCUCUGUGGAGGUUAUUUCCCUUAUUACUGUUAUUAUUUCCGUUAUUUCCGUUUUUUUGUUAUUAUUUCCAUUAUUUCUUUCUGUUAUUUCCAUUAUUAUUUCCGUUAUUUCGGUUUUUUCUGUUAUUUCCGUUGUUGUUCUUGACCUGUCACCUAAGUUUUUGCCGUAUGUUUCUGUCUCUCUGGAGGUUCUUUCCUUUCUUUCUGUUCUUUCUGUUGUUCUUGUCCUGUCACCUAAUUUUCUGCUUUAUGUUUAUGUCUUUCGGAGGUUAUUUCCGUUAUUACCAUCAUUUCCGUUAUUUCCGUUGUUGUUCUAGACCUGUCACCAUAUUUUCUGCCCUAUGUUUCUGUCUUUAUGGAGGUUCUUUCCGUUAUUUCCGUUAUUUUUGUUAUUUCCUUUAUUUCCGUUAUUUCCGUUGUUGUUCUUGACUUGUUACUUAAUUUUCUGUUGUAUGUUUCUGUCUCUGCGGAGGUUAUUUCCGUUCUUUCCGUUCUUUCAUUUCUUUCCGUUCUUUCUGUUUUUUCCGUUGUUGUUCUUGACCUGUCACUUAAUUUUCUGUUGUAUGUUUCUGUCUCUGUGGAGGUUAUUUCUCUUAUUUCCCUUAUUUCCGUUAUUUCAAUUAUUAUUUUCGUUAUUUUUUUCCGUUAUUUCCAUUAUUAUUUUCGUUAUUUCUUUUUUUUUCUAUUAUUUCCGUUGUUGUUCUUGACCUGUCAUUUAAUUUUUUGCCGUAUGUUUCUGUGUCUCUGGAGGUUCUUUCUGUUCUUUCCGUUCUUUCCGUUUUUGUUCUUGACAUGUCACCUAAUUUUCUGCCAUAUGUUUCUGUCUCUGUGGUGGUUCUUUCCGUAAUUUACGUAAUUUCCGUAAUUUCCAUUGUUGUUCUUGACCAGUCACGUAAUUUUCUACCGUACGUUUCUGUAUCUCUGGAGGAUAUUUCCGUUAUUAUUUUCGUUAUUUCCUUUAUUAUUUCUGUUAUUUUGGUUUUUUCUGUUAUUUCCGUUGUUGUUCUUUACCUGUAACCUAAUUUUUUGCCGUAUGUUUCUGCCUCCAUAGGGAUUAUUUCCAUUAUUUCCGAUAUUUCCAUUAUUUCCGUUAUUAUUUCCUUUAUUUCGUUUUUUUCUGUUAUUUCCGUUUUUGUUCUUUACCUGUAACCUAAUUUUCUGCCGUAUGUUUCUGUCUCUGUGGAGUUUUUUUCCGUUAUUUCCGUUAUAUCCGUUAUGUCUGUUAUUAUUUCCGUUAUUUUUUUUUCUGUUAUUAUUCUUCUUAUUUUUUCCGUUAUUUCCGUUACUUCUGUUAUUUCCGUUAUUAUUUCCGUUAUUUUUUUUUUUUUCUGUUCUUUCUGUUGUUGUACUUGUCCUGUCAUUUAAUUUUUUGCCGUAUAUUUCUGUCUCUCUGGAGGAUCUUUCCGUUAUUUCUGUUCUUUCCGUUGUUGUUCUUGACCUCUCACCUAGUAUUCUGCCUUAUGUUUCUGUCUUUCAAAGGUUAUUUCUGUUAUUUCUGUUAUUUCCGUCAUUUCCGUUGUUGUUCUUGACCUGUCACCUAAUUUUCUGUCGUAAGUUUCUCUCUCUGUGGAGGUUAUUUCCAUUCUUUCCGUUGUUAUUUCCGUUAUUUCCGUUCUUUCCGUUGUUGUUCUUGACCUGUCACCUAAUUUUCUGCCAUAUGUUUCUGUCUCUGUGGAGAUUAUUUCCGUUAUUUCUGUUAUUUCUGUUAUUUCCGUUGCAGUUCUUGACCUGUCACUUAAUUUUCUCGCAUAAGAUUCUGUCUCAGUGGAGGUUAUUUCCAUUAUUUCAGUUAUUUUCAUUAUUUCUGUUAUUUCCGUUCUUUCAGUUGUUGUUCUUGACUUGUCACCUAAUUUUCUGCCGAAUGUUUCUGCCUUUCGGAGGUUAUUUCCGUUAUUACCGUUUUUUCCGUAAUUUCCGUUGUUGUUCUUGACCUGUCACCUAAUUUUCUGCCGCAAGUUUCUUUCUUUCUGGAGGUUAUUUCCGUUAUUUCCGUUAUUUCCGUUGUUGUUCUAGACGUGUCAUUUAAUUAUUAUUUCCGUGUGUUUCUGUCUCUGUGGAGGUUAUUAUUUCCGUUAUUUCCGUUAUUAUUUACGUUUUUUCUGUUUUUUUAGUUAUUUCCGUUCUUUCCGUUGUUGUUCUUAACCUGUCACCUAAUUUUCUGCCGUAUGUUUCUGUCUUUCGGAGGUUAUUUCCGUUAUUACCGUCAUUUCCGUUUUUUCUGUUAUUUCCGUUGUUGUUCUUGACCUGUCACCUAAGUUUCUGCCGUAUGUUUCUGUCUUCAAAGGUUAUUUCCGUUAUUUCCGUUAUUUCCAUUAUUUCCCUUGUCGUUCAUGACCUGUCAGUUAAUUUUCUGCCGUAAUUUUCUGUCUCUGUGGAGUUUCUAUCCAUUAUUGCCGUUAUUUCCGUUAUUUCCGCUAUUUCCGUUAUUUCCGUUGUUGUUCUUGACCUGUCACCUAAUUUUCUGCCGUAUGUUUCUGUCUCUGUGGAGGUUAUUUCCGUUAUUUCUGCUAUUUCUGUUAUUUCCGUUGUUGUUCAUGACCUGUCAGGUAAUUUUCUGCCGUAUGUUUCUGUCUCUGUGGAGGUUAUUUCCAUUAUUUCCGUUAUUUCCGUUAUUUCCUUUAUUUCCGUUAUUUCCGUUGUUGUUCUUGACCUGUCACCUAAUUUUCUGCCGUUUGUUUCUGUCUCUCCGGAGGUUCUCUCCGAUCUUUCCGUUAUUAUUUCCUUUGUUGUUCUUGACCUUUCACGGAAUUUUCUGCCGUAUGUUUCCAACUUUGUGGAGAUUAUUUCAGUUAUUUCCGUUAUUUCCGUUAUUUCCGUUAUUUCUGUUAUUAUUUCCGUUAUUUCCGUUAUUAUUUCCGUUAUGUCCAUUUUUAUUUCCGCUAUUUCCGUUAUUUCCAUUAAUUCCAUUAUUUCUGUUGUUGUUCUUGACCUGUCACCUAGUUUUCUGCCGUCUGUUUCUGUCUCUCUGGUGGUUCUUUCCGUUCUUUCCG